AAGUUGUUGCGGUUAAAAGCUCGUAGUUCGAGCUCAGUUCCGGACUGGCCGGGGAGGUCACCGCCCGGUGCUUCCCCGUCAGGCUCCGAACAGCCUUCGUGAGCGGAGGCCAAGCCGGUUCUGCCGGGGUGCUCUUUACCGAGUGUCCCGUGCGGCCGGCCAGUUCACCUUGAAUAAAUGAGAGUGCUCAAAGCAGGCUACUCUCGAAUACAAUGCCCGAAUGUUACCUGCAUGGAAUGAUGGAAGAUGAUCUCGGUUCCAUUUUAUUGGUGGUGGGAGCCCGAGGUAAUGAUAAACAGGGACUGUCGGGGGCAUCCGUACUACGACGCGAGAGGUGAAAUUCAGUGACCGUCGUAGGACGAACAACAGCGAAAGCAUUUGCCAAGAAUGUCUUCGUUGAUCAAGAACGAAAGUUAGAGGAUCGAAGGCGAUCAGAUACCGCCCUAGUUCUAACCCUAAACGAUGCUGACUAGCAAUUCGCCGUCGUUAUUCCCAUGACGUGGCGAGACGCUCCCGGGAAACCUCAAGUCUUUGAGUUCCGGGGGUAGUAUGGUUGCAAAACUGAAACUUAAAGGAAUUGACGGAAGGGCACCACCAGGAGUGGAGCCUGCGGCUUAAUUUGACUCAACACGGGAAACCUCACCAGGCCCGGACACCAGAAGGAUUGACAGAUUAAGAGCUCUUUCUCGAUUUGGUGGGUGGUGGUGCAUGGCCGUUCUUAGUUGGUGGAGUGAUUUGUCUGGUUAAUUCCGGUAACGAACGAGACUCUGGCCUACUAAAUAGUCGACGGGCGUUUUGGUGCAUGGGCCCCGUUCGACACAGUCUUCUUAGAGGGAUGAGCAGCGAGUAUAGCUGCAGGAGAUUGAGCAAUAACAGGUCUGUGAUGCCCUUAGAUGUCCUGGGCCGCACGCGCGCUACACUGAAUGGGUUAGCGGGUUGUCCUUCUCCGAGAGGAGCGGGAAAUCGCUUGAAAACCAUUCGUGAUAGGGAUUGGGGCUUGCAAUUGUUUCCCAUGAACGAGGAAUUCCCAGUAAGCGCAAGUCAUCAGCUUGCGUUGAUUAAGUCCCUGCCCUUUGUACACACCGCCCGUCGCUACUACCGAUUGAAUGAUUUAGUGAGGCCUUCGGACUGGCGGUCUUGGACUGGGGCGCCGGACUUCUCCAGCAAUGGGGUGCCGGCGACCCGCCUAGACGGGCCGGAAAGAUGUCCAAACUUGAUCAUUUAGAGGAAGUAAAAGUCGUAACAAGGUUUCCGUAGG
rnacentral:rRNA from 1 species